UACGUAGGGUGCGAGCGUUAAUCGGAAUUACUGGGCGUAAAGCGUGCGCAGGCGGUGAUGUAAGACAGAUGUGAAAGCCCCGGGCUCAACCUGGGAAUGGCAGUGGAAACUAGGGGACUGGAAUCUGGCAGAGGGGGGUGGAAUGCCGCGUGUAGCAGUGAAAUGCGUAGAGAUGCGGCGGAACACCGAUGGCGAAGGCAGCCCCCUGGGCUGAGAUUGACGCUCAGGCACGAAAGCGUGGGGAGCAAACAGG
rnacentral:rRNA from 1 species